AGUAACACGUGGGGAACCUGCCCCAUAGUCUGGGAUACCACUUGGAAACAGGUGUUAAUACCGGAUAAGAAAGCGGAUCGCAUGAUCAGCUUUUAAAAGGCGGCGUAAGCUGUCGCUAUGGGAUGGCCCCGCGGUGCAUUAGCUAGUUGGUAAGGUAAAGGCUUACCAAGGCGAUGAUGCAUAGCCGAGUUGAGAGACUGAUCGGCCACAUUGGGACUGAGACACGGCCCAAACUCCUACGGGAGGCAGCAGUA
rnacentral:rRNA from 1 species